UUAUACCUGUCUCCUUUUUCUAAUCAGUGAAACUAAUCUUCCCGUGAAGAAGCGGGAAUACCCCUAUAAGACGAGAAGACCCCAUGGAGCUUCAAACCCAACUACACCCCUAACUUCUAUAACCCCCACCCCACGGGACCCUGUAUAGUUGGUUUUAGGUUGGGGCAACCACGGAGCACAACAAAGCCUCCACAAUGAAUGGGACCACCCCCCUUAUCUAAGAGCCACACCCCUAGGAAUUAAAACAUUAAUAUAAAAUGAUCCAUUAUUUGAUCAAUGAACCAAGUUACCCUGGGGAUAACAGCGCAAUCCAUUUCAAGAGCCCCUAUCGACAAAUGGGUUUACGACCUCGAUGUUGGAUCAGGGUGUCCUGGUGGUGCAGCA
rnacentral:rRNA from 1 species